rnacentral:rRNA from 1 species
CUUACCAUGCAAGUCGAACGGUGAAGCUCAGCUUGCUGGGUGGAUCAGUGGCGAACGGGUGAGUAACACGUGAGCAACCUGCCCCCUACUUCGGGAUAAGCCUUGGAAACGGGGUCUAAUACCGGAUAUGAACGUCUGCCGCAUGGUGGGUGUUGGAAAGUUUUUCGGUGGGGGAUGGGCUCGCGGCCUAUCAGCUUGUUGGUGGGGUAAUGGCCUACCAAGGCGUCGACGGGUAGCCGGCCUGAGAGGGCGACCGGCCACACUGGGACUGAGACACGGCCCAGACUCCUACGGGAGGCAGCAGUGGGGAAUAUUGCACAAUGGGCGAAAGCCUGAUGCAGCGACGCCACGUGAGGGAUGACGGCCUUCGGGUUGUAAACCUCUUUCAGCAGGGAAGAAGCGCAAGUGACGGUACCUGCAGAAGAAGCGCCGGCUAACUACGUGCCAGCAGCCGCGGUAAUACGUAGGGCGCAAGCGUUGUCCGGAAUUAUUGGGCGUAAAGAGCUCGUAGGUGGUCUGUCGCGUCUGGUGUGAAAUCCCAUGGCUCAACUGUGGGCUUGCAUCGGGUACGGGCAGACUAGAGUGCUGUAGGGGAGACUGGAAUUCCUGGUGUAGCGGUGGAAUGCGCAGAUAUCAGGAGGAACACCGAUGGCGAAGGCAGGUCUCUGGGCAGUUACUGACGCUGAGGAGCGAAAGCAUGGGGAGCGAACAGGAUUAGAUACCCUGGUAGUCCAUGCCGUAAACGUUGGGCACUAGGUGUGGGGCCAGUUCCACUGGUUCUGUGCCGUAGCUAACGCAUUAAGUGCCCCGCCUGGGGAGUACGGCCGCAAGGCUAAAACUCAAAGGAAUUGACGGGGGCCCGCACAAGCGGCGGAGCAUGCGGAUUAAUUCGAUGCAACGCGAAGAACCUUACCAAGGCUUGACAUGUACGAGACGCCCCAGAGAUGGGGUUCUCUUUGGACACUCGUACACAGGUGGUGCAUGGUUGUCGUCAGCUCGUGUCGUGAGAUGUUGGGUUAAG